GAUGAAGAACGCAGCGAAAUGCGAUACUUGGUGUGAAUUGCAGAAUCCCGUGAACCAUCGAGUCUUUGAACGCAAGUUGCGCCCGAAGCCAUUAGGCCGAGGGCACGCCUGCCUGGGCGUCACACGUCGUUACCCCCCCAUCUACUCCUUCGGGAUUGCGGGGGGCGGAUGAUGGCCUCCCGUGCGCCUCGUCGCGCGGUUGGCAUAAAUGCCAAGUCCUCGGCGACGCACGCCACGACAAUCGGUGGUUGCGAAACCUCGGUUGCCCGUCGUGUGCGGUCGUCGCGCAUCGAGGGCUCGAAAAAAUUGCCGGGCUCCGGCUCGGCUUUCAACGCGACCCCAGGUCAGGCGGGGUUACCCGCUGAAUUUAAGCAUAUCAAUAAGCGGAGGA
rnacentral:misc_RNA from 1 species